UUUUACACAAUGGACGAAAGGGGAUCCAGCCCUUCCGGGGGCAGGACGAACGCCCAAGGGUGGUAAAGUGCUUAUGUACAGAACGAAAAAGUUUUUUUUUAUCCUGGGAGCCCAUGACGGUACCGUAAGAAUAAGCUCCGGCUAACUACGUGCCAGCAGCCGCGGUAAUACGUAGGGAGCAAGCGUUAAUCGGAAUUACUGGGCGUAAAGCGCGCGCAGGCGGUUAUGUAAGACAGAUGUGAAAUCCCCGGGCUCAACCCCGGAACUGCAUUUGUGACUGCAUAGCGGAGUGCAGCAGAGGGGGAGGGAAUUUCCGCGUGUAGCAGUGAAAUUGUAGAUAUUGGAGGAACCCCCAGGGGGAAGGCAAUCUCCACGGGACUGCAAUUGACGCUCAGCACGAAG
rnacentral:rRNA from 1 species